CGCAGACGGGGAAUUGGGACUCUGCUGCCCUGAGCUGACAACGCAGCGGUGCGUCUCCUCCCCUGGACACUCCCAGCUCUCCGCAGGGCGCUAGAGAUGCACUCGCAGCCUCCUGGGCCCUGGGCCGGCAGGUGCCACCUCGAGGAGAUUACAUGCCCCCCGAUCUUCCAGCUUGGGACCCCAAUAUCACGGAGCAGAGCCAAGCAGUCCCUGCUGCUCCCGUUUGACUUUCUGAGCCACGGAAUCCACGAAC